UGCCAGCAGCCGCGGUAAUACGGAGGGUGCAAGCGUUGUUCGGAAUUAUUGGGCGUAAAGCGCGUGUAGGCGGUUCGUUAAGUCUGAUGUGAAAGCCCGGGGCUCAACCCCGGAAGUGCAUUGGAAACUGGCGAACUUGAGUACGGGAGAGGAAAGCGGAAUUCCAAGUGUAGAGGUGAAAUUCGUAGAUAUUUGGAGGAACACCAGUGGCGAAGGCGGCUCACUGGCUCGAUACUGACGCUGAGGUGCGAAAGCGUGGGGAGCAAACAGGAUUAGAUA
rnacentral:rRNA from 1 species